rnacentral:rRNA from 1 species
CCUACGGGAGGCUGCAGUGGGGAAUAUUGGACAAUGGGGGCAACCCUGAUCCAGCCAUGCCGCGUGUGUGAAGAAGGCCCUCGGGUUGUAAAGCACUUUCAGUGAGGAAGAACGCCUGGUGGUUAAUACCCAUCAGGAAAGACAUCACUCACAGAAGAAGCACCGGCUAACUCCGUGCCAGCAGCCGCGGUAAUACGGAGGGUGCGAGCGUUAAUCGGAAUUACUGGGUGUAAAGCGCGCGUAGGUGGCUUGAUAAGCCGGUUGUGAAAGCCCCGGACUCAACCUGGGAACGGCAUCCGGAACUGUCAAGCUAGAGUGCAGGAGAGGAAGGUAGAAUUCCCGGUGUAGCGGUGAAAUGCGUAGAGAUCGGGAGGAAUACCAGUGGCGAAGGCGGCCUUCUGGACUGACACUGACACUGAGGUGCGAAAGCGUGGGUAGCAAACAGGCUUAGCUACCCUGGUAGUA